rnacentral:rRNA from 1 species
CUACGACGGGUACGGGUUGUGAGAGCAAGAGCCCGGAGAUGGAUUCUGAGACACGAAUCCAGGCCCUACGGGGUGCAGCAGGCGCGAAAACUUUACAAUGCUGGCAACAGCGAUAAGGGAACCUCGAGUGCCAGGUUACAAAUCUGGCUGUCGAGAUGCCUAAAAAGCAUUUCAUAGCAAGGGCCGGGCAAGACCGGUGCCAGCCGCCGCGGUAACACCGGCGGCUCGAGUGGUAACCGUUAUUAUUGGGUCUAAAGGGUCUGUAGCCGGCCGGAUAAGUCUCUUGAGAAAUCUGGCAGCUUAACUGUCAGGCUUUCAGGAGAUACUGUCUGGCUCGAGGCCGGGAGAGGUGAGAGGUACUUCAGGGGUAGGGGUGAAAUCUUGUAAUCCUUGAAGGACCACCAGUGGCGAAGGCGUCUCACCAGAACGGACCUGACGGCAAGGGACGAAAGCUAGGGGCACGAACCGGAUUAGAUACCCGGGUAGUCCUAGCCGUAAACGAUACUCGCUAGGUGUCGGCCACGGUGCGACCGUUGUCGGUGCCGUAGGGAAGCCGUGAAGCGAGCC